rnacentral:misc_RNA from 1 species
GCCCUCGGCCGCUUCCCUCUGCUUGCUGGCCGCGUCCGCCCAUCUCCACUUCCCAACCAACCCCUUGAGAUCCAGUACCAGCCUGGUGACUCCGUCACCCUGACUCUUGCCGAGUGCGAUGACGACUUCAGCCAACUCUCGGGAAGCCAACCAUGUGAUUCCGCCCGCUUCACCACCCUCGUUCCCGAUCUAAUCAACUCAUACGACGGCACCAUGCCACUCCUAGCUACACAAGUUACAGUUUUCCCGGGGAGCGGCCUAUGCCUU